AUAACCUGGUGUUUGUUGUUUAAGUAAGGCUGAGUACACAUCAACGUACUCGGCAAAUGUCCCAUUUGGCUGAGGUGGACUAGCUUUAUGUGGAGUUAAGCUCAAGGCAGUUGCUUUUAGUUCAUCGGAUAUUUAUAAUUAGAAGCCAGAUUUUAUCAUAAAGAUCCAAAUUAUUACCCCAAAAGAUACCUCCUCGUAGAGGAAAUACCAGAAUUCAUAAUCAGAACCAUCAUCAUCAUCCGUAACCAUAAUAUCUCUAACCAAAGGAGCUCCAAGGCCGCUCAUAACCGCGAGCACGGCUGAUAUAUCAGUUUCUAACCCUCUGAAGAGGUUGCACACUUUAUCCACGAGUCGUGAUCUCUUUUUGUCUCGGGUUGUACAUACUCUUAAACACUCCCAAGGUGAGUCGGCAAGGUUUCACUACGUAGCUUUUACAAAGAUUCCCUAGAGAUCAUAGCCGCCCGUUAGGUUUCUCCAGAUUGAUAAACAUAGUACUCUCCCCACAGGAAGGGUGACUAACAAAAGCAAAAUGAAAGAACCUCGGCACCUAGCCUCGGUAGAGCAAGUACUGUGCCCGAACCCCGUUGACGACACGACAUGGUAGUAUACUACAUCACAAGUUCCUCUAAUUAGUCAGCUAAGGGCGUCCCAUACCACCAUCAUGGUUGUAUUGUUUUCUUGGGUGGUCAUCCAAUGAAUGGGUCAUUACAGAGAAGUACUCGGGAAACAGCUCGAGCCCCCCUUUAGUGUCACAAUUUCAUCAUCAUAUCUAGAAUACCAUCAUCAUAUCAUAAAGUAUUGUCAUCAUGUUCAUUGGUUAAAGUAAAGCACUAGCAUGAUACUAAUCAUAAUAGCUCAACCCAAGAAGGUAAUUCAAGGACAGGAUAACAGAAAACUAGUCAAUCCUUAGGUUGAUCAUGGUAGUCAAGAGAGUAAAUUAUAAAGUAAGUAGGACAUAAUGGGUCGGAGGACACUUGCCUUCACCAAGUUGUUGUUCAGGGACUUCUCCUGCAACUCUCUCGGGAAACACAUGUUACUUGUUGUCUAUGCAAAGCAUUCAUUCAACACACUUGGGUAAUAACAAAAGAAAAAUACACCAAACAUAUGCAACAAAGUAAGUACAAGUUCAAUAGAAGGGUAUAGGAAAUAAGGUGUUUCCUAAGUUUAGGGUAGUCACUACGCCAGGUGGUUUAUUAACCUCUAAUCAAGUCUAUGUUGUGGAUGGGAUUACUCAUUAGAUAGUGUUACGUCUAUAAACUUAAGUAUUUGAACAUUUAUUAGAUGUUCCUACCUUUAUUUUAUUUCUAUUAAGGUUCCAAUAGCAUCAACUCUAAACUAGAGAUCAACAUAAAUUGGGAUAUUAAAAAA
rnacentral:lncRNA from 1 species